CCUACGUGUGGCAGCAGUAGGGAAUAUUGCUCAAUGGGGGAAACCCUGAAGCAGCAACGCCGCGUGGAGGAUGAAGGUUUUAGGAUUGUAAACUCCUUUUGUUAGAGAAGAUUAUGACGGUAUCUAACGAAUAAGCACCGGCUAACUCCGUGCCAGCAGCCGCGGUAAUACGGAGGGUGCAAGCGUUACUCGGAAUCACUGGGCGUAAAGAGUGCGUAGGCGGGGUAAUAAGUCAGAUGUGAAAUCCUGUGGCUUAACCACAGAACUGCAUUUGAAACUGUUAUUCUAGAGUAUGGGAGAGGUAGGUGGAAUUCUUGGUGUAGGGGUAAAAUCCGUAGAGAUCAAGAGGAAUACUCAUUGCGAAGGCGACCUGCUAGAACAUUACUGACGCUGAUGCACGAAAGCGUGGGGAGCAAACAGGAUUAGAUACCCGUGUAGUC
rnacentral:rRNA from 1 species